rnacentral:rRNA from 1 species
GACGAACGCUGGCGGCGUGCUUAACACAUGCCAGUCGAACGGAAAGGCCCUGCUUUUGUGGGGUGCUCGAGUGGCGAACGGGUGAGUAACACGUGAGUAACCUGCCCUUGACUUUGGGAUAACUUCAGGAAACUGGGGCUAAUACCGGAUAGGAGCUCCUGCUGCAUGGUGGGGGUUGGAAAGUUUCGGCGGUUGGGGAUGGACUCGCGGCUUAUCAGCUUGUUGGUGGGGUAGUGGCUUACCAAGGCUUUGACGGGUAGCCGGCCUGAGAGGGUGACCGGCCACAUUGGGACUGUGAUACGGCCCAGACUCCUACGGGAGGCAGCAGUGGGGAAUAUUGCACAAUGGGCGGAAGCCUGAUGCAGCAACGCCGCGUGCGGGAUGACGGCCUUCGGGUUGUAAACCGCUUUCGCCUGUGACGAAGCGUGAGUGACGGUAAUGGGUAAAGAAGCACCGGCUAACUACGUG